UACGGGGGGGACAAGCGUUGUUCGGAAUUACUGGGCGUAAAGGGCGCGUAGGCGGCCUACUAAGUCGGACGUGAAAUCCCUCGGCUCAACCGAGGAACUGCGUCCGAUACUGGCAGGCUGGAAUCCGGGAGAGGGAUGCGGAAUUCCAGGUGUAGCGGUGAAAUGCGUAGAUAUCUGGAGGAACACCGGUGGCGAAGGCGGCAUCCUGGACCAAUACUGACACUGAAAAGCGAAAGCCAGGGGAGCAAACGGG
rnacentral:rRNA from 1 species